GCAUGAAGUUGGAAUUGCUAGUAAUCGCGGAUCAGCAUGCCGCGGUGAAUACGUUCCCGGGGAUUGUACACACCGCCCCGUCACACCAUGAGAGUCGGGAACACCCAAAGUCCGUAGUCUAACCGCAAGGAGGGCGCGGCCUAAGGUGGGUUCGAUAAUUGGGGUGAAGUCGUAACAAGGUAAC
rnacentral:rRNA from 1 species